AGAGUUGAUCAUGGCUCAGAACGAACGCUGGCGGCGCGUUUAAGCAUGCAAGUCGAGCGGCAAGGGCCUUCGGGCCCUAGAGCGGCGGACGGGUGAGUAACACGUGGACAAUCUGCCCCCCGGCCCGGGAUAGCCCAGGGAAACCUGGAUUAAUACCGGAUGAGACGGGACCCGCGAUGGCGGGAUCCGGGAAAGGCGCUGCGGCGCCGCCGGGGGAUGAGUCUGCGUCCCAUUAGCUAGACGGCGGGGUAACGGCCCACCGUGGCGACGAUGGGUAGCCGGCCUGAGAGGGUGGACGGCCACAUUGGAACUGAGACACGGUCCAGACUCCUACGGGAGGCAGCAGCUAAGAAUCUUCCGCAAUGGGCGAAAGCCUGACGGAGCCGACGCCGCGUGAACGAAGAAGGCCGUGAGGUUGUAAAGUUCUUUUCGGGAGGGGGAACAACCGUGGCAGGGAAUGGCCGCGGGAUGACGUGAAUCCCGGAAUAAGCCCCGGCUAACUACGUGCCAGCCGCCGC
rnacentral:rRNA from 1 species